rnacentral:rRNA from 1 species
AGAGUUUGAUCCUGGCUCAGGAUGAACGCUAGCUACAGGCUUAACACAUGCAAGUCGAGGGGAAACGACAUCGAAAGCUUGCUUUUGAUGGGCGUCGACCGGCGCACGGGUGGGUAACGCGUAUCCAACCUACCCUUGUCCAUCGGAUAACCCGUCGAAAGGCGGCCUAACACGAUAUGCGGUUCUCAGCAGGCAUCUAACGAGAACGAAAUGUGAAGGAGAAGGAUGGGGAUGCGUCUGAUUAGCUUGUUGGCGGGGUAACGGCCACCAAGGCGACGAUCAGUAGGGGUUCUGAGAGGAAGGUCCCCCACAUUGGAACUGAGACACGGUCCAAACUCCUACGGGAGGCA